UACAGAGGGUGCAAGCGUUAAUCGGAAUUACUGGGCGUAAAGGGCGCGUAGGCGGUUAUGUAAGUUAGAUGUGAAAUCCCUGGGCUUAACCUAGGAACUGCAUCUAAGACUGUGUAACUGGAGUGCAGUAGAGGGUAGUGGAAUUUCCGGUGUAGCGGUGAAAUGCGUAGAUAUCGGAAGGAACACCUGUGGCGAAAGCGGCUGCCUGGACCGAUACUGACGCUGAGACGCGAAAGCGUGGGGAGCAAACAGG
rnacentral:rRNA from 1 species